UUACACACAUUUCGAGUGCUAUAUAUAAAGUCAAUAUUUCUUCAAAUAUCUUUUAUUCCUCGAGCAUUAUUCAAACUAGUUCCAAUAAUAAUCCAGUCUUUCUAAAGAAAUCUGUUUAACUAGUGCGUUAUUGAAAAAUCGCAAUAGAAGCGAGUAAUAGAUAAUAAUGUUUCACACCAUGGACCGAUUAAAUGUUAUUGCAUUUUUAUUUUUGUCGUACUACUUCCAAGAAGAUAUGGAGAAAGUGCAGAAUAUCUUCAAUUGAAUUCGAAGAUCAAAACCAUGUCCAAUAAAAGGAAAUACGCUUCAUCUUUUAAUUGACAAUUAACAUCUACUUGAACAACUUUGGAAAACGAAUGAAAAGCAAUCCGUAAAAUAUAGUCUAUCUUUUAUCCAUUAUUAAUUCCAUUUCAUCCGGUAAAUGAAGAAAGAAGUGAUGAUAAGACAAGAACAAAGUAAAUUUUUUUCUUUACUCUAAAUAUAAACUACUAUAGAUAUAAACUUAUCGUGAAAUGGUUUA